GAUGAACGCUGGCGGCGUGCCUAAUACAUGCAAGUCGAGCGAACGGACGAGAAGCUUGCUUCUCUGAUGUUAGCGGCGGACGGGUGAUUAACACGUGGGUAACCUACCUAUAAGACUGGGAUAACUUCGGUAAACCGUAGCUAAUACCGGAUAAUAUUUUGAACCGCAUGGUUCAAAAGUGAAAGACGGUCUUGCUGUCACUUAUAGAUGUAUCCGCGCUGCAUUAGCUAGUUGGUAAGGUAACGGCUUACCAAGGCAACGAUGCAUAGCCGACCUGAGAGGGUGACCAGCCACACUGGAACUGAGACACGGUCCAGACUCCUACGGGAGGCAGCAGUGGGGAAUUUUCCGCAAUGGGCGAAAGCCUGACGGAGCAACGCCGCGUGAGUGAUGAAGGCCUUCGGAUCGUAAAACUCUGUUAUUAGGGAAGAACAUAUGUGUAAGUAACUGUGCACAUAUUGACGGUACCUAAUCAGAAAGCCACGGCUAACUACGUG
rnacentral:rRNA from 1 species